rnacentral:rRNA from 1 species
CAGCCGCCGCGGUAAUACGUAGGUCCCGAGCGUUGUCCGGAUUUAUUGGGCGUAAAGGGAGCGCAGGCGGUUUAGUAAGUCUGGAGUUAAAGGCAUUGGCUCAACCAAUGUAUGCUUUGGAAACUGUUUGACUUGAGUGCAGAAGGGGAGAGUGGAAUCCCAUGUGUAGCGGAGAAAUGCGUAGAUAUAUGGAGGAACACCGGUGGCGAAAGCGGCUCUCUGGUCUGUCACUGACGCUGAGGCUCGAAAGCGUGGGUAGCGAACAGGAUUAGAUACCCGCGUAGUCCCUGUCUCUUAUACA